rnacentral:ncRNA from 2 species
ACCAUCACAAAGGGGAGCCAAUUGGCUGAGAGUGAGCGAUCAGACCCUUCGAACCUGUUCGUUAAUGCGAGCGUAGGGAUUGUGAGUGGUAUUGAA